UACGUAGGGGGCAAGCGUUGUCCGGAUUUAUUGGGCGUAAAGAGCGUGUAGGCGGCCUGACAAGUCUGCUGUGAAAACUCGAGGCUCAACCUCGAGAUGUCGGCGGAAACUGUCUGGCUAGAGUCCGGAAGAGGAGAGUGGAAUUCCUGGUGUAGCGGUGAAAUGCGCAGAUAUCAGGAAAAACACCUAUAGCGAAGGCAGCUCUCUGGGACAAUACUGACGCUGAGACGCGAAAGCGUGGGGAGCGAACAGG
rnacentral:rRNA from 1 species